rnacentral:rRNA from 1 species
AUGAACGCUGGCGGCGUGCCUAAUACAUGCAAGUCGAGCGAACGGACGAGAAGCUUGCUUUUCUGAUGUUAGCGGCGGACGGGUGAGUAACACGUGGAUAACCUACCUAUAAGACUGGGAUAACUUCGGGAAACCGGAGCUAAUACCGGAUAAUAUUUUGAACCGCAUGGUUCAAAAGUGAAAGACGGUCUUGCUGUCACUUAUAGAUGGAUCCGCGCUGCAUUAGCUAGUUGGUAAGGUAACGGCUUACCAAGGCAACGAUGCAUAGCCGACCUGAGAGGGUGAUCGGCCACACUGGAACUGAGACACGGUCCAGACUCCUACGGGAGGCAGCAGUAGGGAAUCUUCCGCAAUGGGCGAAAGCCUGACGGAGCAACGCCGCGUGAGUGAUAAAGGUCUUCGGAUCGUAAAACUCUGUUAUUAGGGAAGAACAUAUGUGUAAGUAACUGUGCACAUCUUGACGGUACCUAAUCAGAAAGCCACGGCUAACUACGUG